UUGGGUUAGGUUGGGGUUGGCCAGGAAAUGUACCAGUUGGGGCAGCAGUAGGCGCUUGUUGUUGAGCUACUUGUGAUAUUUGCAUUUCCAGCAUUUUGUUAUGAGUAGCCAGGGCAUCUACUUUACUUGCUAGUUGUUUAAUUUGUUCGCCAGUGUGUACAUUCUGGUUUAAGAAAUCUUUAUGGUUUGCUGUUGAGAAGCUAUAAAGUUUCCAUCAUGAUUUCCAAGUUGGAUUUCCUAGGGGGCGUUAUGUUAGAUGUAGAUGGGGUCGGCUUCUAAUAUCCCGGAGGUAUAGCUGGGGCUUGAUUUGGAGAUUGUCCAGGUGCGUAUAGAGCAUUAUUACUCUUAUAUGAAAAAUUGGGAUGAUUCUUCCAAUUUGA
rnacentral:lncRNA from 1 species